GGAGUCUAGCAUGUGCGCGAGUCAUUGGGACAUUUUGAAACCUAAAGGCGCAAUGAAAGUGAAGGUUCGCCUUGCGCGGACCCAGGGAGGAUGGGCGGACGUCGUUCCGGCUGCCGCCCCGCACUCCCGGGGCGUCUCGUUCUCAUUGCGAGAAGAGGCGCACCAAGAGCGUACACGCUGGGACCCGAAAGAUGGUGAACUAUGCCUGGUCAGGACGAAGUCAGGGGAAACCCUGAUGGAGGUCCGUAGCGAUUCUGACGUGCAAAUCGAUCGUCGGAACUGGGUAUAGGGGCGAAAGACUAAUCGAACCAUCUAGUAGCUGGUUCCCUCCGAAGUUUCCCUCAGGAUAGCUGGCGCUCGUAGCGUACGAGUUUCAUCCGGUAAAGCGAAUGAUUAGAGGCAUUGGGGUCGAAACGGCCUCAACCUAUUCUCAAACUUUAAAUGGGUGAGAUCUCCGGCUUGCUCGAACUCAAAUUUUAUUAUGAAGCCGCGAGACUCGAAUCAGAGUGCCAAGUGGGCCAUUUUUGGUAAGCAGAACUGGCGCUGUGGGAUGAACCAAACGCCGAGUUAAAGCGCCUAAAUCGACGCUUAUGGGAUACCAUGAAAGGCGUUGGUAACUUAAGACAUCAGGACGGUGGCCAUGGAAGUC
rnacentral:rRNA from 1 species